CUACGGGUCGCAGCAGUGAGGAAUAUUGCGCAAUGGGGGAAACCCUGACGCAGCGACGCCGCGUGAGUGAGGAAGGCCUUCGGGUCGUAAAACUCUGUCAGAAGGGAAGAAAUGUGUAUCGGUUAAUAUCCGGUAUGCUUGACGGUACCUUCAAAGGAAGCACCGGCUAACUCCGUGCCAGCAGCCGCGGUAAUACGGAGGGUGCAAGCGUUGUUCGGAAUCACUGGGCGUAAAGGGCGCGCAGGCGGCUUGGUAAGUCAGAUGUGAAAGCCCACGGCUUAACCGUGGAAGUGCAUUUGAAACUGGCAGGCUUGAGUACCAGAGGGGGGGGUGGAAUUCCCGGUGUAGAGGUGAAAUUCGUAGAUACCGGGAGGAAUACCGGUGGCGAAGGCGACUUCCUGGCUGAGUACUGACGCUGAGGCGCGAAAGCGUGGGGAGCAAACAGGAUUAGAUACCCCGGUAGUC
rnacentral:rRNA from 1 species